UACAGAGGGUGCAAACGUUGUUCGGAAUUACUGGGCGUAAAGCGCGUGUUAGGUGGCAAGGCAAGUCGGGUGUGAAAGCCCUGGGCUCAACCCAGGAAGUGCACUCGAUACUGCCUCGCUAGAGUCCCGGAGAGGUUGGUGGAACUCUCGGUGUAGAGGUGAAAUUCGUAGAUAUCGAGAAGAACGACCGGUGGCGAAGGCGGCCAACUGGACGGUGACUGACACUGAGACGCGGAAAGCGAUGGGGAGACA
rnacentral:rRNA from 1 species